rnacentral:rRNA from 1 species
UACGGAGGGUGCAGGCGUUAUCCGGAUUUACUGGGUUUAAAGGGUGCGUAGGUGGGUCUGUAAGUCAGUGGUGAAAUCUCCGAGCUUAACUCGGAAACUGCCAUUGAUACUAUCAGUCUUGAAUAUUGUGGAGGUCAGCGGAAUAUGUCAUGUAGCGGUGAAAUGCUUAGAUAUGACAUAGAACACCAAUUGCGAAGGCAGCUGGCUACACAUAUAUUGACACUGAGGCACGAAAGCGUGGGGAUCAACCAGG